rnacentral:rRNA from 1 species
AUGAACGCUAGCUACAGGCUUAACACAUGCAAGUCGAGGGGCAGCAUGGUCUUAGCUUGCUAAGGCCGAUGGCGACCGGCGCACGGGUGAGUAACACGUAUCCAACCUGCCGUCUACUCUUGGACAGCCUUCUGAAAGGAAGAUUAAUACAAGAUGGCAUCAUGAGUCCGCAUGUUCACAUGAUUAAAGGUAUUCCGGUAGACGAUGGGGAUGCGUUCCAUUAGAUAGUAGGCGGGGUAACGGCCCACCUAGUCUUCGAUGGAUAGGGGUUCUGAGAGGAAGGUCCCCCACAUUGGAACUGAGACACGGUCCAAACUCCUACGGGAGGCAGCAGUGAGGAAUAUUGGUCAAUGGGCGAGAGCCUGAACCAGCCAAGUAGCGUGAAGGAUGACUGCCCUAUGGGUUGUAAACUUCUUUUAUAAAGGAAUAAAGUCGGGUAUGGAUACCCGUUUGCAUGUACUUUAUGAAUAAGGAUCGGCUAACUCCGUGCCAGCAGCCGCGGUAAUACGGAGGAUUCGAGCGUUAUCCGGAUUUAUUGGGUUUAAAGGGAGCGUAGAUGGAUGUUUAAGUCAGUUGUGAAAGUUUGCGGCUCAACCGUAAAAUUGCAGUUGAUACUGGAUAUCUUGAGUGCAGUUGAGGCAGGCGGAAUUCGUGGUGUAGCGGUGAAAUGCUUAGAUAUCACGAAGAACUCCGAUUGCGAAGGCAGCCUGCUAAGCUGCAACUGACAUUGAGGCUCGAAAGUGUGGGUAUCAAACAGGAUUAGAUACCCUGGUAGUCCACACGGUAAACGAUGAAUACUCGCUGUUUGCGAUAUACGGCAAGCGGCCAAGCGAAAGCGUUAAGUAUUCCACCUGGGGAGUACGCCGGCAACGGUGAAACUCAAAGGAAUUGACGGGGGCCCGCACAAGCGGAGGAACAUGUGGUUUAAUUCGAUGAUACGCGAGGAACCUUACCCGGGCUUAAAUUGCAGAUGAAUUACGGUGAAAGCCGUAAGCCGCAAGGCAUCUGUGAAGGUGCUGCAUGGUUGUCGUCAGCUCGUGCCGUGAGGUGUAGGCUUAAGUGCCAUAACGAGCGCAACCCUUGUUGUCAGUUACUAACAGGUUCCGCUGAGGACUCUGACAAGACUGCCAUCGUAAGAUGUGAGGAAGGUGGGGAUGACGUCAAAUCAGCACGGCCCUUACGUCCGGGGCUACACACGUGUUACAAUGGGGGGUACAGAGGGCCGCUACCACGCGAGUGGAUGCCAAUCCCCAAAACCUCUCUCAGUUCGGACUGGAGUCUGCAACCCGACUCCACGAAGCUGGAUUCGCUAGUAAUCGCGCAUCAGCCACGGCGCGGUGAAUACGUUCCCGGGCCUUGUACACACCGCCCGUCAAGCCAUGGGAGCCGGGGGUACCUGAAGUGCGUAACCGCGAGGAGCGCCCUAGGGUAAAACUGGUGACUGGGGCU